rnacentral:rRNA from 1 species
AACGAACGCUGGCGGCAUGCCUAACACAUGCAAGUCGAACGAGACCUUCGGGUCUAGUGGCGCACGGGUGCGUAACGCGUGGGAACCUGCCCUUAGGUUCGGAAUAACUCCCCGAAAGGGGUGCUAAUACCGGAUAAUGUCUUCGGACCAAAGAUUUAUCGCCUUUGGAUGGGCCCGCGUUGGAUUAGCUAGUUGGUAGGGUAAAAGCCUACCAAGGCGACGAUCCUUAGCUGGUCUGAGAGGAUGAUCAGCCACACUGGGACUGAGACACGGCCCAGAAUCCUACGGGAGGGAGGAGUGGGGAAUAUUGGACGAUGGGCGAAAGCCUGAUCCAGCAAUGCCGCGUGAGUGAUGAAGGCCUUAGGGUUGUAAAGCUCUUUUACACGGGAUGAUAAUGACGGUACCGGGAGAAUAAGCUCCGGCUAACUACGUG